GGUUCUGUGUUUCCGUCUGUUUUUCCCUGUUGGGCCGCCAGAUGGCAGCACUUCUGUUUUGUGUCCUGCUUGUUCCCCUGUUGGUUAAUUGUAUUAUUGCUUUCAAUUAUUUUAUUGUCUCGUUAUUUAAUCAUCGUCUCCACCUGCCUCGUUUUCCCUUCCCUCUGGUUUGAUUGUUCUUUGAGUUCACCUGUGUCCGUAACCUCCGCUCCUUCUCUCCCUCCUCUCUCGCUUCUAGUGUCACUGCCUCACUCCCCCCUCUUUAAUCCUUCUCCAACCUUCCCACUGACUCUGCAUCCUCCGCUCUGUCUUCCUCGCUCUCCUCAGCACUUGACUCUCUCUGUCCUCUAGUCUCCAGGCCGGCACGCUCGUCCCCUCCCAGUCCGUGGAUGUCUGACCCCCUCCGAACCAACCGGGCCAGCCUACUUGCAGCGGAGAGGAAAUGGAGGAAAUCCAUGGCUCAAUCAGACAGCACUCCUCCUCCCCCACCUCAGUCCUCCCUCGCUGCAGAUGACUUCGCGGCUUUCUUUGAUGAGAACAUUGCAGACAUCCGCAGCUCCUUCACAUCCACCGCCACCCUCCCCCACUCCCCCCUCUCUGUUCCCUCCCCUUGUUUCUCCACUUUCUCUCCCCUCACUGACUCUGAUGUUUCUCAGCUCCUACUCUCCCACCGCCCUACCACCUGUGCUCUUGACCCUAUCCCUUCCUCUUUCCUCCAGACUAUCACACCUGACAUCCUCCCGUUUGUCACCUCCCUUGUGAACUCCUCCUUGUCUUCUGGAUGUUUCCCCUCAUCCUUCAAGCUGGCCCACAUCACCCCACUGCUGAAAAAGCCCACUCUGGAUCCCUCCGUCAUCCAGAACUAUCGUCCUGUUUCUCUUCUACCUUUUUUAUCCAAAACAAUUGAACAAGCUGCAUCUAACCAACUCUCCUCUUUUCUCUUGCUGAACAACCUCCUAGACCCCCACCAGUCCGGCUUCAGACCUGGCCACUCGACAGAGACCGCACCUCUCGGUCAGUGAAUCGCUUCACGCUGCACAAGCAGCCUCCCAUUCGUCCGUCCUGAUCCUCCUAGACCUUUCUGCUGCCUUCGACACAGUCGACCACCCCAUCCUCCUGUCCUCCCUGGCAGCUAUGGGGAUCUGUGGCACAGCACUAGACUGGAUCGAGUCCUACCUCUCUGGUCGCUCCUUCCAAGUCGCCUGGGCUGGUGCAGUAUCGGCACCUCGCCCCCUUGCCACAGGAGUUCCCCAGGGCUCAGUCCUUGGUCCCCUCCUGUUCUCCCUGUACACCUAAUCUCUUGGUCCUGUAAUCUCUGCCUAUGGUUUGUCUUAUCAUUGUUAUGCCGAUGACACCCAACUCUUUCUCUCCUUCCCCCCCUCUGACACACAGGUCUCCGCUCGCACCUCUGCUUGCCUGAGGGACAUCCAGAGCUGGGUGGAUAACCACCAUCUUAAGCUGAACCCAGGUAAGACAGAGAUGAUCUUCAUCCCUGCUCCAUCCUCUAACCUCCUUGACCUUUCUAUUUCCUUAGGGGACACCGUGGUGUCAUCAUCACCCACUGCCAAAAACCUCGGAGUGGUGAUGGACAACAGACUGUCCCUCUCCCAGAACAUCGCGGCGGUGAGUCGAACAUGCAGGUUCUUCUUGUACAACAUCCGGAGAAUCCGUCCCUUCCUCACCACCUACGCAACCCAGCUCCUGGUUCAAGCGAUGGUGCUAUCCCGCCUGGACUACUGCAACUCUCUUCUGGCUGGACUACUGGCACCUGCCAUCAGACCCCUGCAACUCAUUCAGAAUGCUGCAGCUCGUCUGGUCUUCAACCUCCCCAGACAAUCCCAAGUCACUCCCCUGCUCACUACCCUCCACUGGCUCCCUGUUAUGGCUAGCAUCAAAUUCAAAACAUUGUUCCUAGCAUACCAGGCAGUCAAGGGAUCAGCCUCAGCAUACCUCCACAAGAUCUUCAAACCCUACAUGCCAGCCAGACCCCUCCGUUUUGCUACCUCAGGAUGCCUGGCACCUCCCCCUCUUCGCACUUGCACUUCCCGUUCACAGCUCCUGUCUGUUCUGGCCGUGCAAUGGUGGAAUGACCUUCCCGUGGAGGUCAGAACAGCUGAGACCCUGACCACCUUCAAGCGACAACUGAAGACUCACCUUUUCAGGCUGCACCUCUCCCCAUCCCUCCCUACCUCCCUGUAGUCUCUAACUGACAGUAAGCUUAGGGUUGUAGCUAGGUAGCUGUUUCUUAGUUGACUUAAUUAUUGCACUCGUGUCUUCUCAACUAUUGCUUGUAUUGUUUGCAUAGACUGCGUUGUUGCUGUUUUUGUUUGUGUUAAUCAGAUUAACCUACAGGGUCCAAGUUAAACUACACGGUCAUUCCCUGCACUUGGAACUGUACUUCCCUCUAGGGUUUUCAACACACUUGUUCCUGGUUUUGGUUAUACACUUUGUUGUACGUUGCUCUGGAUAAGAGCGUCUGCCAAAUGCCUGUAAUGUAAUGUAAUGUAACAUGUGAAUACUUUUAAUUAUUGAUACAUUUGAGUAUUUACUCAUUUAAAAUAUUGGACACAAGAGACUGUAGGCCACAUCUGUUCCUGUAAAAGUGAGGACUAAUUAAAUGAACUCAUUAAACACCAAACAGUAUUAAGUAAUGUGAACUACAACUUUAUGUGUUGCCUUUGCAUGCCAGUUCUGUGCUGUAUGUGAAUAUUGUGCAUCAGAAACACAUACAGUCACUGUUUUUAAACAUGUAUCUUUGUGAGAAAAAACAGAAUGUGAGGAAUUGUUUUUUUAUAAUUCAAACAGCAGGGGGCAGCAUUGAUUAAAAAAUGUUUUGCUCUUG